CAGAAUGAAGAUUCGACUUCGGCAGAAAUAUCUGCCGAACGUGCUCGGCAAAGUGAUAUUCUGCCGAAAUCUCGGCAGAAAAUUCAUUGUUCCAAUAUUCUCGGUUAAAUUUAACCGAUAGUUCGGCAGAUCUAAGCAAAAUGCCGAAGUUCGUCAGUUAAAUUUAACGAAAAUCUCGGCAUGUCCAAAAUCUACCGAGUUCGGCAAUUCAACUGUCAAAUUUGCUAGAAAGUGCCGAGCUGUUCGGUUAGAUGUUGAGGUAGCCAUAUUUGUUUUCGAUAUGAGUAGUGCUCACUGAACUAAGUUCCGGAACUUUGGAUAAAUCGGGAUUUAUACUUGAAUUUCUACAGGAUUUCUGCUUGGAUUUCUACUUGAAAGCUUUUACCAAGGAAAUGCAUGACGAUGGUGCUUGGUAGAAGUAUAGGAUUCAUUCUGGUUCAGAUUGUAUUAGAUUAUACAUAAAAAGAGCAAUAAAUAUAAAAAAGCAUGCA